UGCUGGGUGCAGCUUGAUACGACCGCAGAGGUCGAACCCUGAACAGUUGGGGCAAGUAUGGACACAACAUUCAAGCUUGAUACAGCUCUGAAUUUGGAUUGUGAUUAAAUAUUUGACACAGCAUAGGUUUCUGACACAGAAAGAAUGUGGUCUAAGAACUUGAAUUUUUUUAAUUUACCUAUUAUGGUCCAAUGUCCAAAAUCAAAAUACAUGGUAAGAUUCAGCAUAUCAAAGAACCCCAUAUAUUCAACUUUUGUUAAAAUCAAACAAAGUUUAAUUUUGGACCCCAACUUGGACAAACUUGAAAACUGGGCCCAUAAUCAAAAAUCUAAACACAUGUUUAGAUUCAGCAUAUCAAAGAACCCCAAGAAUUCAAUUUUUGCUAAAAUCAAACUAAGUUUAAUUUUGGACCCUUUGGACCUUAAUGUAGACCAAUUUAAAAAAUGGGACUUAAAAUUAAAAAUCUAAAUACACGGUUAGAUUUGGAAUAUCAAAGAACCCCAAUAAUUCAAUUUUUGAUGAAAUCAAACAAAGUUUAAUUUUGGACCCUUUUGACCUCAAUAUGAACCAAUUUGAUAGCGGGGCCCACAAAUGAAAAAAUCUAAAUACAUGGUUAGAUUCAGCAUAUCAAAGAACCCCAUAUAUUCAAUUUUUGUUGAAAUCAAAAAAAGUUUAAUUUUGGACCCCAACUUGGACCAACUUGAAAACUGGGCCAAUAAUAAAAAAUCUAAACACAUGUUUAGAUUCAGCAUAUCAAAGAACCCCAAGAAUUCAAUUUUUGUUAAAAUCAAACUAAGUUUAAUUUUGGACCCUUUGGACCUCAAUGAAGACCAAUUUAAAAAACGGGACCCAAAUUAAACAUCUAAAACACGGUUAGAUUUGGCAUAUCAAAGAACCCCAAUAAUUCAAUUUUUGAUGAAAUCAAACAAA